UACAGAGGGUGCAAGCGUUGUUCGGAUUUACUGGGCGUAAAGGGCGCGUAGGCGGCCACGACAAGUCAGUUGUGAAAUCUCUGGGCUUAACUCAGAACGGUCAACUGAUACUGUCGGGCUAGAGUGCAGAAGGGGCAACUGGAAUUCUCGGUGUAGCGGUGAAAUGCGUAGAUAUCGAGAGGAACACCUGCGGCGAAGGCGGGUUGCUGGGCUGACACUGACGCUGAGGCGCGAAAGCUAGGGGAGCGAACGGG
rnacentral:rRNA from 1 species